UCCAAAAGAUAGGGGUGUGUAUAAUUUUGGAUACAUGUAGCAGUACCUAGAGAAGCUCAUUUCUACAGUUCUAUGUUCAGCAAAGCAGAGUCUCCUCUUUCAAACCCAAGCCAAGCCCUCUGUUUACAGUAACAUUCACACGAAUCACACCCAAACAUUAAGCAAACCAAAACCUCAAAUUUAUUCAGUGACUAUGGAUGUGCAUGACGGAAAUGGAAGAAUGGAAACUUCUGCUGGAGGGGAACCUAAUACACGUAUUGUUGUUGUUGAAACAAAUCAAGAACCAUGUGUUGGUAUGCAUUUUGAAUCUGAAGAAGCUGCCAGAGCAUUCUAUGAUGAGUAUGCCAAAGGAGUAGGAUUUGGAACCCGUGUAUUGUCAUCCCGAAAGUCUGAGCGUGAUAGGUCAAUCAUCUCCCGCGGACUUGGAUGUAGAGGGGGUUCUGUUAAUCGAAAGCAAGGUGGGCAGCGGGAGGUUUGCACAGCAAUGGUUCUGUUGAAGAGAGAGAAAUCUGGGAGAUGGCUGGUUAGGAAAUUUGUGAGGGACCAUAAUCAUCCAUUGAUGGUUCAAUUGCGAAAGAGUCGUCGAACACUUGAUGAGAAGGAUAGGAAAAUUCUGGAAUUAUCGGCGGAACUGCGGGCAAAGAAGAGGUUAAGUGCAGCAUAUAGAGAGCAGCUACUUAUAUUUAUGAAAGAUGUUGAAGACCAUAAUGAGCACCUAUCGACAAAAGUUCAAUUAGUUUUUGACAAUCUAAGGGAGUUUGAAGCCAAAAGGAAAAAGGUCUCAGACCAUAGAUAACUUCUACAUAUGGAAUCCAUUCUUGGAAAGUGACUAAAAUUUGACACAUGCGGAAUUUGGCCCUCUAUGCUCUAUGACCCUAAAUGUUGGACCGUUAAGAAAUAAGAUGUUCAUGAAGAAUGAAGUCAUCCGUUCAAAGAUUUGAAGUCACAAAGUGGAGAGUAUUUUGAAGGUUGAGGCUAUGCUAUUUGCACAUUGAGUCUAGUUUGGUACAUUUAAAAUCAAAAUUAUGAGAUGUAACAUGUUGCAUUAUAAUUCUGAAACCCUGAGGUUUGUAAAUAUUUCGGUUAAGCUUGAUUUGUAAUGCAAAAUGUUAUUGAUAUUGAUUUUAGUUAUGCUCUGAAUGAUCAUGUGUUAUUGUUUCCUUGUAACACUUGGUUAUGUCUAAUGCUUUCUCUUCAAAACUGUAUUGGUAGAAUCUGAAAUGCUUUGUUGCAGUCGCUGUAAAUCAUUCCAACUAAUCCAUAUGUAUGGUCUUCGUGAGGAACC